ACACGAGAAAGGAGGUGGUUCGGCAGAUGUAUAAGAACCGGACGCGUGAGGUGGCUGCGGGCUAGCGGCCCGACACCACACACAGUGCGGUGCCGGACCAGCACGUGAGCGAACGUGCAGCCGGCCCAAUCUCCAGCAGUCACCCGACCCGCGAGCCGCCGGUACGUCCGGCCGGACCCUCCUUCGGAGGACCAGGCUCGCGGGUCGUCUGCG
rnacentral:sRNA from 1 species